CUGCUCAAUGAAUAAUAUAUUUAAAUAGCUGCAGUAUUUAUAACUGUACAAAGGUAGCAUAAUAAAUAGUUUUUUAAUUAAAAACUUGAAUGAAAGAUUAAAUGAAAAAAUAACUUUAUCAAAUUAAAAUAAUAAAAUUUUAAUUUAAGUAAAAUAAUUUAAAUUAAAUUAAAAAGACGGGAAGACCCUAUAGAAUAAAAAUUAAAAAAAAAAAUUUAUUUAUUUGGGGAAUUAAAAAUUUAAAUAAUUUUUAUUAUUUAAAAAACAAAAAAUAUUGAUUAAAAUAAUUUUUAAAAAAAUAAAUAAAAGUUACUUUAGGGAUAACAGCAUAAUUUUUUUAAAUAGUUCAUAUAAAUAAAAAAGUUUAUGACCUCGAUGUUGAAUUAAGAU
rnacentral:rRNA from 1 species